rnacentral:tRNA from 1 species
UAUUUGUAUAUAUUUAAUAUGGCAGAUUA